GGGAGGCACAGUGGGGAAUAUUGGCAAUGGAGGCAGCUCUGACCCAGCGACGCCGCGUGCGGGAUGAAGGCCUUCGGGUUGUAAACCGCUUUCAGUAGGGAAGAACGAAAGUGACGGUACCUACAAGACACCGGCUAACUAUGUGCCCCAGCCGUGGCUAAUGCCAGCAGCCGCGGUAAU
rnacentral:rRNA from 1 species